GACGAACGCUGGCGGCGUGCUUAACACAUGCAAGUCGAACGGAAAGGCCCUGCUUUUGUGGGGUGCUCGAGUGGCGAACGGGUGAGUAACACGUGAGUAACCUGCCCUUGACUUUGGGAUAACUUCAGGAAACUGGGGCUAAUACCGGAUAGGAGCUCCUGCUGCAUGGUGGGGGUUGGAAAGUUUCGGCGGUUGGGGAUGGACUCGCGGCUUAUCAGCUUGUUGGUGGGGUAGUGGCUUACCAAGGCUUUGACGGGUAGCCGGCCUGAGAGGGUUACCGGCCACAUUGGGACUGAGAUGCGGCCCAGACCCCAACGGGAGGCAGCAGUGGAGAAUAUUACACAAUGGGCGGAAGCAUGAUGCAGCAACGCCGCGUGCGGGAUGACGGCCUUCGGGUUGUAAACCGCUUUCGCCUGUGACGAAGCGUGAGUGACGGUAAUGGGUAAAGAAGCACCGGCUAACUACGUG
rnacentral:rRNA from 1 species